AGCAGUGCUGAGCAUCCCUGAAGUUAAUGGGAGCAACAAAUGCUCAGCACCACUGAAAGUCAGGACAGAUGUUUCUUAAAACCAGCUAGAUUUCCAUUUUAUUUUCUGCUUGGAAUUUGUCUUUUGAAUUUACAAACAUUCUUGUUGAGAGGAACAACAACAGAGGUGGAGAACUAAUAUUAAUAAACUAGGACUUCCUGCCUGUUUUUGCAAGAUCAAGAAUAUUUCUCCUCCUGAGUCGUAACUUCAACCAUGACCUGCACUCUAUCAAGUUUCUCUGCCACUACCAGCUCAGUCUUGAAAAGAGCUGAGCACUCUCGCCUCAGUCCAGCAAAGCACUUAAUCAGCAUGUGCUGAACUUAAGAUGCACUGAGUCUUUGGCCUUGACCAGGGCGAAAUCAAGCCUUAAUAUGUGACAGUAACUACUGGUGAGAGCAUGUAAUAGGUCCCUGCUUUAAGGUACUAGAACCAUUGAAAUGAAGAGAUGUGCUGUACAAUGAAACAACAGAUUCUUUCUUGGAUUUAAUGCAGCUCUGACUGGUUGGUCACAAGACCUGGAUAUGCAAAUAAAACCAUGAUGCAAUCUUCGCAAAAAUGCUGGAUAGAUUUACCUGAAAUACUUUAAGCAAGGUCUGCUUACCAU